CAAAAAAAAAAAAAAAUUUUUUUUUUUGUGUGGGAGAGGUUUUAUUUUUUUUUUAGGAGAAAAAAAGUGUUUUUCCUCUUGUCGGCGGGUGUUGGGGCCCCCCAAACGAUAAAGAUCAAAUAAGAUUUGGGGAGAGGAAGUGUGCCCCACAUUGGGAACUGAGACGGGGCCCAAACCCCCUCCGCGACGCAGCAGUGAGGAAAUAUUGGUCUAUGCGCGAGCGCCUGACCCAGCCCAGUCCCACACAGGAAAGAGGGGCCCCUGGGGGUUGUAAUCUCUUUUUAUGCGGAGAUAAAAGAGAGGGGGCGUGUCCCUUUUUUGCGUGUACCGCAUAAAAAAAAAACCGGCUAAUUCCCGUCCCAGCAGCCGCGGUAAUAGAAAAGGCCCGCGCGUUCCCCGGUUUUUUGGGUUUUAAAGGAGAGCAUAGCCCGUAGAUUAAGCGUGUUGAGAAAUGCAGGUGCUCAACGUUCGCACUGCAGCGCGAACUGGUCCACUAGAGUCCGCGAAGCGCAGGCGGAAUUCCUCGUGUAGCGGUGAAACGCUUAGAUAUGACGAUGAGCUCCGAUUGCGAAGGCAUCUUGCGGGAGCACAACUGGCUCUGAAGCUCGAAAGCGCGGGUAUCGAACAGG
rnacentral:rRNA from 1 species